AAAAUUUUCUUAUUUCUUCCUUAAUUUUUUUUCUUUCUUCUUCAUUCUUUAUCACCGACAAAGACCAAUUCCUAUCAGUUCUUCAUGCUCUGUUGCAUGGCAAAUACAUUGAUUUAUAUCCACGGCAUGUAACCCACGGCGACGGUGUUCAUCCUUAUUCUUCGAGUAGUUCUUCCAUUGUGUGUUGUUUAAUUAUACACCUGAAUUCCUCAUCCUAUAAUUUCAAUUUGAUUGUGUUGCUUUUAUAAUGUCUCAAUUUUUUUUUCUAGAGUUGAAUAUAUUUGUUUUGCUUUAAUUUGAA